UACGUAGGGCGCAAGCGUUGUCCGGAAUUAUUGGGCGUAAAGAGCUCGUAGGCGGCCUGUUGCGUCCGCUGUGAAAUCCCGGGGCUCAACCCCGGGCCUGCAGUGGAUACGGGCUGGCUAGAGGCAGGCAGGGGAGAACGGAAUUCCUGGUGGUAGCGGUGAAAUGCGCAGAUAUCAGGAGGAACACCGAUGGCGAAGGCAGCCCCCUGGGCUAACACUGACGCUGAUGCACGAAAGCGUGGGGAGCAAACCGG
rnacentral:rRNA from 1 species